AAGACUUAAAUGAAAAUAUAUUAGAUAGUUUAAAUUAGAUUUUAAUGAGGAUGAAGAAAAAAUUUCCACGUGGCAAAAAUAUUGGAGAAUUAUAUAGGUUAAUAGGUGCAGAACAAUAUAUUUUCCUACAUUAAAAAAUAGGCAGUUCAGUGGUUCGGUUCGGAUGUUUAGAGACACAAUGAGCGGUUUGGUUCAAGUGCUAGAUGAGCCGUCCGUUUUAGAAUGCAUUCGGUUUAGUUUUCAUACAAAAAAUCAGAGAGACAGUUCAUUGGUUCGGUUCGGUUCAAAUGCUAAUUUAGAAAAGAGAAAAGUAAGAGAAGAUAGAGAAUCGAUUCGGUUUCAAAUAGGUGGUUCGGUUCAGAAAGGCAGUUCAAUGGUUCGGUUUAGAUGUUUAGAGACACAAUGAGCGGUUCGGUUCAAGUGCUAGAUGAGAAGUCUGAUUUAGAAUGCAUUCGAUUCAGUUUUCAUACAAAAAAUCAGAAAGACAGUUCAUUGGUUCAGUUCGGUUCAAGUGCUAAUUUAGAGAAGAGAAAAGUAAGAAAAGAUAGAAAAUCGGUUCGGUUUCAAAUAAGUGGUUAGGUUCAAAAGAAGUGGUUUGGUUCAAAGUGGGAUUAUUAUGAGGAUGAAGGGUGACCUGCCACGUGGCAAGAAAUAUUGUGGUUUCAUAUAUAAUUUAUUUAUAGAUUUAUAGAUAUAGAUCUGAGAUAACUAACUCACUCCAUUUAUAAU
rnacentral:lncRNA from 1 species